UAAUACGUAGGGGGCAAGCGUUGUCCGGAUUUACUGGGCGUAAAGAGCACGCAGGCGGUUCGUUAAGUCGGUUGUGAAAUCCCACGGCCCAACUGUGGGGGGUCGACCGAAACUGGCGGACUUGAGGGAGGCAGAGGGAAGCGGAAUUCCCGGAGUAGUGGUGAAAUGCGUAGAUACCGGGAGGAACACCAGUGGCGAAAGCGGCUUCCUGGGCUUUUCCUGACGCUGAGGUGCGAAGGCGUGGGGAGCGAACCGG
rnacentral:rRNA from 1 species